rnacentral:rRNA from 1 species
GAUUACAACUGGUACUAGUAUGCAAGUCGAGCGGACAGAAGGGAGCUUGCUCCCGGAUGUUAGCGGCGGACGGGUGAGUAACACGUGGGUAACCUGCCUGUAAGACUGGGAUAACUCCGGGAAACCGGAGCUAAUACCGGAUAGUUCCUUGAACCGCAUGGUUCAAGGAUGAAAGACGGUUUCGGCUGUCACUUACAGAUGGACCCGCGGCGCAUUAGCUAGUUGGUGAGGUAACGGCUCACCAAGGCGACGAUGCGUAGCCGACCUGAGAGGGUGAUCGGCCACACUGGGACUGAGACACGGCCCAGACUCCUACGGGAGGCAGCAGUAGGGAAUCUUCCGCAAUGGACGAAAGUCUGACGGAGCAACGCCGCGUGAGUGAUGAAGGUUUUCGGAUCGUAAAGCUCUGUUGUUAGGGAAGAACAAGUGCAAGAGUAACUGCUUGCACCUUGACGGUACCUAACCAGAAAGCCACGGCUAACUACGUGCCAGCAGCCGCGGUAAUACGUAGGUGGCAAGCGUUGUCCGGAAUUAUUGGGCGUAAAGGGCUCGCACGCGGUUUCUUAAGUCUGAUGUGAAAGCCCCCGGCUCAACCGGGGAGGGGCAUUGGAAACUGGGAAACUUGAGUGCAGAAGAAGAGAGUGGAAUUUCACGUGUAGCGGUGAAAUGCGUAGAGAUGUGGAGGAACACCAGUGGCGAAGCGACUCUCUGGUCUGUAACUGACGCUGAGAGCGAAAGCGUGGGGAGCGAACAGAUUAGAUACCCUGGUAGUCCACGCCGUAAACGAUGAGUGCUAAGUGUUAGGGGUUUCCGCCCCCUUACGCUGCAGCUAACGCAUUAGCCCUCCGCCUGGGGGAGUACGGUCGCAGACUGAAACUCCACAAUGACGGGGGCCGCCCAGCCGUGGACCCGUGGUUUACUCGUAACACGCCAAGAAACUUACAGGCCUG